rnacentral:rRNA from 1 species
GGGUAAUUUUCCGCAAUGGGCGAAAGCCUGACGGAGCAAGACCGCGUGGGGGAAGAAGGCUCUUGGGUUGUAAACCCCUUUUCUCUGGGAAGAACAAAAUGACGGUACCAGAGGAAUCAGCAUCGGCUAACUCCGUGCCAGCAGCCGCGGUAAGACGGAGGAUGCAAGCGUUAUCCGGAAUGAUUGGGCGUAAGGCGUCCGCAGGUGGCAGUUCAAGUCUGCUGUCAAAGACCGGGGCUCAACCUCGGAAAGGCAGUGGAAACUGAACAGCUAGAGUAUGGUAGGGGCAAAGGGAAUUCCUGGUGUAGCGGUGAAAUGCGUAGAGAUCAGGAAGAACAUCGGUGGCGAAGGCGCUUUGCUGGACCAUAACUGACACUCAGGGACGAAAGCUAGGGGAGCGAAUGGGAUUAGAUACCCCAGUAGUCCUAGCCGUAAACGAUGGAUACUAGGUGUUGUCUGUAUCGACCCGGACAGUGCCGUAGCUAACGCGUUAAGUAUCC